AACCCUUGCACCUCCUAAGGCUGCAAGUGCUAGUUUAUUUCUUUCCUUCAAUUCCUCUUGGUUAAAAAUUGCGAUUAAGAAAUCUCACUAUUUCCUUGGCUUCCAGAAAAUUGAUGGACGAGGAAACCCUAAAUGACCAAAGUUGAAGUACUGAUAGGAGGGGAGAUGAAUUCUAAGUUUAACCUAGCUAUAAAUGGCCGUUCAAUGGUGUCUGAAAUAAUGGAAUACAUGAAAUUUAAUCUUGAACGAGAAGGCUUGUUCUAUUAGCAUGGCAGGACGAGUCCUUCCCGAGAUGGACAUCUUUAGCAGAUAGUUUAACUGUAUACAAAAGUAAAAUAUGCAGCCGGAUAUAGGCGUUAUUGAGUUUGUUUACAGUUAUUUGUAAGGGAAAUAUAUUUGCUGAUUCAAUGAAGAGGGUGUUCAGGUGUGGGUGCCCCGUCGAGGGAUGGAAACCAGAUUGUAAAGGUUUGUCUUAGGUUUUGCUUUUAGCCUAGUUUGCUGUAAUUCUGCCUGGUAAGACUGACUUGAAUGCAACAUCUGUGAUGAUAGCAUUGAUCAUGAGCUUCUACAAGGAUUGCGCACUGAGGUAGAACUUCACCUGGCUUGUAGAGAGCAGAGAUUAAUGAGCCUAAAUGCUAAUCUGAGGAGUUUAAAUUUUUUAUUGGUGUGUUUUCCUGAGGCAUUUGCCAAAUUUGUCAUAUUUUUUAAAUGGUUGUUGCAGAGAAUCAAUGGAUAAAUAAGAUAUAGUUUGGCAGGUUAGUUUGAAUGGCUUAUCAUAUAAAUGUUACCCAUGCAGGUUUUGCCCGUCCCAGAUUUUGCUUUUAGCGUGGUUUGCUGUAUUUUUCUGUUAAGAUUGACUUGCAAUGCAGACACCUAUGAUGGGAGCAAUAUGCACGAGCCUCUAGAAGGAGUGACUUGAAGUUCUUCAUGACUUGGAGCGGGUAAGGAUUAAUGAAGAAAAUGCUAAUCAGAGGUGUUGCUUGCCUGGUGUAAUUUUGAACUGCAACUCAUUGCAAAUAACCCUCAUACACAUGCUUCUCUCAAGGAUUGAUGCAUUGUCUGAAAAAAGCAUUGAUAGAUCUGAGGUAGGGAAGAUUAAUGGGUCUGAGAUAAGAUUUGCUUUUGUGUCCGGUUUGUGUUGUUUUUCGUUCAUCAGGACUGCUCUGAACUGCAGGCAGACAUCUGCCAUGAUGCCAACACUCACAAACAUUAAUACUCACGAGGUUUUAGAGAAUUGUAUGCUGAGUUCAAGUACUUCUUGGCUUGUAGUGGGCUAGGGCUAUUGAGCUAAAAUGCUAGUUUUGCAUUCGCAUCUUAUGGGACUUUAUUUUGUAUUUCUGUUCCAUCGAUAUCUCAAAUAUCAGUACAUUACAUUUCCUAUGAUUA